CGCAAUAUAUCGAUCCCUGAUAAAUCGAUCGCUACCCACCAAUACUGCCCAAUAGCUCAGUGGAUUCCCUGACAGUGGCUGCACGCUGAGCUCAGAUUUCAUUGGCCUAUCGCUCACCAGGAUGCUCAGGUCUUUUCCUGAUUUAACAUAGAACCACUGACAAGUCUGAGGCGUUCGUUCUUUCCAUAACACAUCAUUUUAGAAGUAUCCAGCUAACAAGCGGAUUUUACACAGUUGUUGGAUUCAGUAGCUGAUAUCAGGGAGCUGAAGAAAGGUGGGGUGGCUGCAUGGGACAAGGGGUCUGCACUGACCACAGCCUGGACACUGCUCUUCUCCUUCCCGCUGCUGAUGGCUCCUUCUAGCUCCAGAUGCUGGUUAACCUCAGUGCAGCCUUCUGUACUAAGGACUGCACAUCUGUAGGGCUUCAGAGCACCCGAGCCCAACUCUCAGUCUGAGGUGACCAACAGUGAGAUAAUCUGCAAAUAUUGCAAGUGCACAUACAGAUCUGGUAAAUCACACUUCCUGCCAGUAACCAGCCGGGCCGGGGAAACUGAUGAUCCAACCAGCAGACCAAAUUCGGUGAUGGAUCCUGGUCACAUGCCACCUGAGGCAUGUUGUGCAUAUGCUAAGAAGUGCUUGUGCAAAUCUUUGUGCCCAACUACCCAACUCACAACCUGAAUAAGUGUGCACGCAAGUUGGAUGUAACAUUGCCCAGUUGUUUUGCACACCCAAACAUUCUACAUUCUGGCCCACAGAACCACACAAGUUGAGGUGGAAAUCCCCCUUAGCUCACAGUGCCCAGGCCCCAAUGCCUAAGCACUUUUCAUACUAUCCAACUCUGUUUUAAAGCAACUUGGCUCCCCCACCCCCAGCCUGGCCCAUCUUACCAUCAGGAAGAGGUUCCUAGUGCUACCCCUAAUCUCUCACUGAAGCCUUUUCCAUCAGGUGUGUUAGCACCCUGCAAACAUCUUGGACCGGCCCCUUACUCACUUACUAGAAGAGCUACAUCAUUCCCUCCCCCAAACAUGGUCCAGACAUGACCACCGCCUUUGAGCCAACACCUCCUCAGAGACAGACAUCUCACCUUGCAAAUUACUGUCUCGUUUUCUGCCCCUUCUCCCCCAUCUUCCCCUCUUCUUGGUUACUUCCCAGCGAAAUCCCAUUCUAUUAUUUCCUACCAAGGUUUCCAGCUUCUCUGGCCCCUUUAGAUCAUGCCUUUGGCCUACCUAGUCAAAGACACCCCUCCUUGCUUGCUCUAGAUCAGUGGUUCUUAACCUUUACUGCAGCCUGCAACCCUUUGGUUCUCAAAAUAUGGUUUUGCACCCCUUAUCAAAAAUCAAAAUACGUUCUCGCACCGUUAAAACCUAAAAUAUAUGUUCUUGCACCCCUUAAAUCUAGAUAUAUUUUGUAGUUGUAUUUACGGGCCUGUGCUUAAUUUCUGUUUUCGAUGAUUUACCUUCUAAAAAAAUCUGGCAUGUCUUGCACCCCCAGGAAGGGCAUCUUGCACCCCCAGGGGGUGCGUGCACCCCAGGUUAAGAACCACUGCUCUAGAUGAUCUAAUGGACUCUGUCUCUUCCCCCCCAUCUAGUCCCUCCUCUCAUCUGGCUUCAGUCUCUUUCCUGUCACUUCAGACAGACAUUGCCAUCCCACUGUUGGUACAAGAGCCUUCUCCUCAGCAGCCCUGACUAUACCUCUCCCCAGUGGCCACACAACUGGGCUAUAAUUAAUGCUUACAUAACAGCUAGUGUACCAGUAGUUUAGAAGACUCAUUACAGAGCUUUGAUCAGUAACAUUCUCUGCCCUGAAGAGCUACCAAUCUAACAAGACAAGAGAUCUGUGCAGGGAGGGAGAGGAUGCCCAGCAGAGAGCGACAGACCUGUUCAAGAUGUAGGGGUCAGCACAGCAGCAGGCACAGAGCUGGGUACAAGAAAAGGAGAUGCCAGUGAAAGGACUGAGACGUGGUAAAGAAGGAGACACAACAAAGGCAUAAGAAACAGCUGGAGCAGUGGGGAACAGAGAGCACAGCAACAGGCACAUCAGAAAAACAAAAGGAGCAAUGGCAUUUUGGACAUAUUGGUGUGAAAACAGGAGAGGGGCAGACGGGAGAUCACUAGGGCUUAGACUAAAAGUGUAGCAGUGUAAACAGGGAGCAAAGGUGGACAGGAGGCAUCAACAGGGCGAUGUGGAGUACGGCUCUGCUGAACACCCAAGGCUACAGAGGAUGGGGUGGAGGAAAGUAUCAGCACAGAGGCGGGAGCUGAAGCCCUGGGAGCAGCCAGGUGGGUCAAGUAAGAAGAUAUGACAGAACCCCGCGUGAAAAAUCACUAUGCUCUCUAAUGAGCUCACACAGGAAAAUGAUAAAAGACAAAAACAAAACAAGACAAACACUUUUAACAAAGUGAUCGCUCUUUAUCUGACCUACCAGUCUUCGACCUCAAAGGACACCUGCACAGCACUUUGAAAAGUGCGAGCUUAAACUCAUAACUUUGUUAGACACUAAAAACCGUGGUCUUAAAUACAGACAUUGGAUUUAUAGCUUAUUACAACAAUCUGUAACCCACUAACCCCCCUUUUUGUCCUAUGACUACACGGGUGUUAAUGGGCGACUUCACCUCGAA